UCGGGGCUUCAUCUCUUUCUUUCUCUAUAUUUGUCACUGUUGUUCCUCGCUGUCGGUGGUGCGAAGGUGAUGAAGACCUUGGUUCCUUUCUGAUUCACACUUCCAGGUGUGGAAUAGUUCUUCAUCUUCUUUUUGAAACACUUCCAGGUAACUCAGCUUCAAAUUUCUCUUCAUAUUCGACUAAAAUUUAGCUAAUAUGUCUAAUACUUAUUGUUUCUUUACUCUGUGUAUUCGAUUGUCCCUUUUGCCGAUUUUCCAAAAAAUCCACCUCGAUGUUGAGCUUGUGCAAGUCUUGAGUUCGAGUCACUGGUCAGUGUACCUUCAUGUUAUCAGGUUCAGAUAGCUAACCGGAGUAAGCCAGACCAGUAGGGCCUCUUUCCAGUUCCAGCCAGUGAGCUCCAUUUGGACCGGAGCUACAACCCUUGGAAUGUGCUUUGUUGACCUCAUAUUAUCUGCUGGACCUGCUACUACCUUGUGUACUCUGAGGUAACAUCUGCACUUUCAUGUUUUCUUUUUCAUCACUACUUAUUACCUGCUCUCCUUCUGCCAUAGUUCCUUUACUUGUUGUUGAUGCUUUUGCUACAUUCCCCAUGACUUCCUCAUUGAUUGUAUUAGUAUCAGAUAUGUCCUGUCUCUCUUUCAUUAUGCUUUUAUUUCCUCCUGAAUCUGCUGUUGAGAAUUCCUUGUCUGUUUGCUUGUCUUUCCCUGAUGCAUCUGUACUUGCUGCUCC